CUUUUUCUGAGCCUUGUAGGCCAGGUGAGCAAUGUGGCCCAUAAGCCUCUUGUUAGACUCAAAAUUUAAAGUUUAUUCACAUAAAUAAACUCAAAAGUAAGAGUGUAUGUGCCUGAAUAGAAUCAGAUCUUUAGAACCACCCCCUCCAAUUUUUGGGACUCAUAAAAAGUAAAAAGUACACAUAGAUGUUACAUAAGUAUGUUAAAAUAAAGUAUGUCUUCAAUUAAUACUAAACGAUUAAAUAAUCAAAAGAAAAAUUUCACAAUCCUUAUCUGCUAUAAAAGUGUGUGGUAAAAAUCAUUUUAUACACUCAAUAGAUACAAAUCCUUGACCUUGUAUCCUUUUGGAUGUUGACUAGCAAUGGAAAAGAUUUAAAAGACAGUGGAUUUACUAACCUUGAUAGAAGGCCCAUAAAAAGUCAAUCUUAACAUUAUUUACAGUAGUCUAUAUUUUUUUCCAGAGAAUCUGCCAUGGAAAAGUUUUUCCACUGAUCAUCUUUCCCAUGUAGAGGAGAUGGCCUGCGAUGAAGGGUCCUUGAAAGGUCCUAUGAAGGGAUCAGUUAUUGGACAGUCCUGCCCCCUAAUUAUAAUGGCCACACAGAGGAUAGAACUCCAAUAAAGCUUUCAUUUCUGGAGAUGGAUCAAAGUAUAUUAACCAAGUGAUAAAAAAAGUCUGUGCAAAAUACCAGAUGAUACCAGAUAGAGUGCCAGAAAUUGGAGUCAACAGAAAUGAGAAUUCUACAGAGUAUUUGACAAGGCACUGUUGUUAAGUGCUAGACUACAAGUUAAUUAACUGUCAGAGACGACACUAGUCACCAGAAUAAAGGAAGGGGCCAGAGAGUCUUUUGUUAGAGGGAGACAGUCAUUUUAGUCAGCAUACUGUAAACCUGCCAGGAGAGAUCAAUUUUAAACUCCGCAAUAAAAUUGUGUAUUCCGUGAUAAUUUUUUUUUUCUUUUUUUUUGCACUGAUUGAAUUGUUGACGAAGGUGUGUGUUUUUAUCCUGUCAGCAUUGCUAUAUCUUAUUGCAUCAUGCCUUGGACUCAAUUUUGUUGGUUCAUCAGCAAAAUGUCAUACCCUCCUGGAAGAAAUGUCUAUCAAAACUCUGAUUGUAGAAGAAAAUUAUAAGCUAAUAAGGUUUCUCAUGCCAAAAACAUAUCGCAAAUCUUUCCUUAUUGGGGCAUUUGUAGGCUUCUGUUUUGUUCUGGAUACCAUCUUAGUCCUUGAAUGAGAAGUAUAGGAA